ACAUGGGUCACUGUAUCCUCAAACUCCAGGGCUCAAGCAAUCCUAUCACCUCAGCCUCCUGAGUAGGGGUCUCUGUUGUCCAAGCUGGUCUUGAACUCCUGGUGUCAAGCAAUCCUUCUCCCUUGGCCACCCAAAGUGCUGAGAUUACAGGAGGCUGAAUUCUUUUUGGAGAUGUCCACAAGAUUAAAGAAAACAAACCAGAUCUUUCAAGAUAUUCAUGGUACUAAAGCUGAGAUCCAUCUCCUGACUUCCUAGCAGUACCCUGGGAGGAUGACCUACAUAGACUGCUUCACCUGAAGUGUCCUUGGUUUUUGG
rnacentral:lncRNA from 1 species